AUUUUUAGUAAGAUCUUUAUACCAAACACACACGUAUUGACGAUUUUAAUAAAAAUGCGCGUUUAGGAUUUCAUAACAACCUAUCCAAACGGGCUGUCCAUUUCUUUUUGAAAUGGAGAAGAUCCGGAUCCAGCCUUGUAGUAGGUGAUCGAAAAAGAGUGUUGCAACGAUGAGCGAAGGUCCAACCGUCCAAAGCUCUACACCAACAAACCCAAAAAAUCACAACUGAAACAAAAACCUAACGAGUUUCUUCACCAUCAGCAAUGGACACUCAUGAGUCUUCAGCUUUGCUACCUCAGCCACCACCAAAAGAGUCAUUUGCUCGGCGUUACAAGUUUCUCUGGCCUAUGCUCGUGGCUGUCAAUCUUGCUGUUGGAGACAAAGAAGAAAGAUGAGCACAUAGAAGAAGGUGCAACCCCAGUUUCUAUCUCCGCUGCUAAAACUGCUCCUAUUGCUGAAAAAUCCUUGCACUCACCAUCCGUUACAAAACCUGUAACGUUGCGGGAACCAAUUCCAGAGGAUUAGCAGCGUGAACUUUUCAAGUGGAUGUUGGAAGAGAAAAUGAAGAUCAAACCAAAAGAUCCUGAAGAAAAGAAGCGCAUUGCUGAAGAGAGAGCCAUUCUUUAUUCGAGCGAAACCUAUCCCUAGUAUCUAAUUAUUUAACACUUGUUCUCAAAUUUAGAGAUUACUAUAAAUGAAUAUUUUCUUUCUUUUUACAUGAAGUUAAGUUUAUCCUUAUGUCAAAUCUCUUCAAAGUUCUUUAAAUCAGUGUUGUUCAAUGCAAAGGAUAAUGUUGAUAAUAGUCAGUAAAAUAUAGCACCAAGUGGCAACUGGAUACAUUUGCUUUGCUAAUUGAAGAGCAGAUGAUUCCUUUCUCUUUUGCAUGUAACAAAUAUUGCAUCAUAAGAUAUUAUGUUUUAGGUG